UGUGACUGUGCAACCAACUAAGGAUUCAAAACUCAUUACUAGAUGUCGCAAGUAUCGCCCCUGUUGUUGUUACAUCGUGAAACGAGGCAAAGUGUGCGAAACAAAUUGUUGCUAAUUUAUACUUAUAUUCCUGUGAUUUCAUAUACCAAAAUGAACUUCGUAAGUUAUAUGCAUACUGUCAGUCAUUCCAACAAGUUGACUUAACACUCAGUCACUUUCCAUCCAAUAUCAUGCUGUCAAAAGCCUAAAACUAAUGUUUGAAGCUCACAUAUAGUGGAAUACAAAUGUGCAGAGUUAGUAAGGUAUUUUCCCAUUACUACUACCAGACCAUUGCAAUUAAGAUUUUGGAAUCUCGAAAUUUUGGUGGUGUAACCCGCACAUUAUGUUUGAUGUUAUGGCUGUUUCUACUUCUGUUUAAAAGGUAACCCAGCUGAGAGAUAGAGUUUCAGUGACAUGAAAAGUGUGACGUGAAUAAUGCCGUGUGUAUGCAUACAUUUUCCAGUUCUGCUUGAUGCCUUAAUAAAUUCAUCACCCGUAUGAUAAAGGAAAUUUAUCUCAACAUGAGGAGUAAGUCUGUUGGUUGCU